AUACGGAGGGUGCGAGCGUUAAUCGGAAUUACUGGGCGUAAAGCGUGCGUAGGCGGAUUAUUAAGCAAGAUGUGAAAGCCCAGGGCUCAACCUUGGAACUGCAUUUUGAACUGGUAGUCUAGAGUACUGUAGAGGGUGGUGGAAUUUCCAGUGUAGCGGUGAAAUGCGUAGAGAUUGGAAGGAACAUCAGUGGCGAAGGCGGCCACCUGGACAGAUACUGACGCUGAGGCACGAAAGCGUGGGGAGCGAACAGGAUUAGAUACCCUUGUAGUCC
rnacentral:rRNA from 1 species